CAAAGGAUAGGGCAGCACACACAAAAUAUUCCCCCAAAUAAUAAUAGCUAACAUUUCUGCAAGUCUAAACUCAUUUAUUUAUUCGGAAAAUAUUCUCUGAGGACUUCUUUUGACGUACUAGGUGGCUGUGUCACAGGACCUCUGCGCUGGAAGACGCCCUUCUGGACCCCAGAGUUUAGAAUACCUCGGCCUCCCAGAGUUCUGUGCGGCAGGACCCUCUUUGAGCCAGGAGAUCCUCUGUCAUUUCCGCCGAUCACCUCCAGCUCCCCCUGCUCGUGAACCUAUGCUCACAGCUAAGACUUUGCCUUGAGUCUCAGGAGAUUUUGGACUUGGAC
ensembl:lncRNA